AAAUAAUACAGCCAUCACUCAAUCAAUAGCAGAGGACAUCUAUCACAUGGCGGAAGUGAGAGAAAGACAAUAUUGCAUGAAUUACAUGGGGUCAAAUAUUAUUAAUAAUAUAUAUGUAUAUUGGAAACUGUAAAUGAAUGUCAAGUAUACAUGCAAAAAGUAGAAUGAAAAAAGGCUGAAUGCUUCUUGCUUGCAUGCACAUACAUAAUUACAAAAAGUAGGGAAUGGUAGAAAGAAGUUGAAGUGGAAGAAAGUUCAAG